UCACGUUCUGUUUCGUAGGUGACCUGCGGAAGGAUCAUUACCUAGAGUUGUAGGCUUUGCCUGCUAUCUCUUACCCAUGUCUUUUGAGUACCUUACGUUUCCUCGGUGGGUUCGCCCACCGAUUGGACAAAUUUAAACCCUUUGCAGUUGAAAUCAGCGUCUGAAAAAACUUAAUAGUUACAACUUUCAACAACGGAUCUCUUGGUUCUGGCAUCGAUGAAGAACGCAGCGAAAUGCGAUAAGUAGUGUGAAUUGCAGAAUUCAGUGAAUCAUCGAAUCUUUGAACGCACAUUGCGCCCCUUGGUAUUCCAUGGGGCAUGCCUGUUCGAGCGUCAUUUGUACCUUCAAGCUCUGCUUGGUGUUGGGUGUUUGUCUCCUGUAGACUCGCCUUAAAACAAUUGGCAGCCGGCGUAUUGAUUUCGGAGCGCAGUACAUCUCGCGCUUUGCACUCAUAACGACGACAUCCAAAAGUACAUUUUUACACUCUUGACCUCGGAUCAGGUAGGGAUACCCGCUGAACUUAAGCAUAUCAAUAAGCGGAGGA
rnacentral:rRNA from 1 species